CUUCCUUCCACUCACCUUUCAGGUGUUUUGGUUUCUGCAUUUAGGAAACGAGAAUUAAUGAUCUGAAUCACAGGUGAGAUGAGAGAGUAAAUGGGAUGUGAGGUGCUGAGACAAGGAGAUGGAGUUUGUUAGUGCCAGUUCUGAGUGCAGAUCUCCUUCUGUGUGGGAAGACAACUAAAGCUCUUUGUUAAUUAAUUAAGCCUUGCAAUACUCAAGGAAGCAUGGGGAUGGAUUCCAAGGCACAGUGAAUGAGACCAAGCAUUUGGACACAGGAAUAAGAUACAAUAGGGAACUUAAAAAGCUGAAAGAAAGGAAGAGGCGGUAGCUGUAAUGAGACAAAUCUGAAAAGCAUGACAGGAAGCGGUUCUGGCAUCAGCAGCCUCAUGUGCCAUGUCACACCACUGAUGGAUUUUGGAAAGGAAAGGCAUGACAGCAUUUAAAAAUCUUUAAUGAUCCUGUGCGACCAGCAGUGUUCACCAGCCAUACCACAUUCACUUAUCUGAGGGAAAGAUACAGACUAGUGAAAUACCAGCUGAAAUGUAUGAGGGUUGCUCUGAAAGUAAUGCCUCCUGCCUUAUGAUGUUGGCCCAUGACAUCAGAGGUAGAUGUUGGUGGUAUGGCAGUAGGGGUUGAACCUUCCCACCAAUGUACUAUUACACGUUGUUGCUGUGUGACAGAUGGCAGCAGAGGGGCAGUCUUACAAAAUGGCAUCUAACACGGAAGUGUGUAUGAAGGUUUGAAACUGAAUUCCUCCGUGUGAGAAAAAAUUGCAGCCGCUGACAUUCAUUGGAGACCAAACAGUGGUUGUGAGCACAGUGAGGCAGUGGGCACUGCACUUCAACAGCAGCAACAGUGGUCACCUCCGCUGGUGCAGCCUGAGUGCAGCAUGCAGGCUCUUGUUUAUUGCUGCUGAAAAUGCACAGCUAAUGGUGGUGACUGUGUUGGAAAAAAAAGUGUUUUGCAGCUGAGAGUUUGCUCUAUUCAAUAACGCUGCUGUGUUCUACCUGUUGUAGUUUCCACGGAAAUAAACAGCAGGCACUACUUUAUGAGAAACCUACCUAAGCGAAGUCUUACUACACUCCUGUUAAAAAAAAAAAAAAAAAAGGUAAAGCACGAUUUUUAUUUUAAACCUGCUGUUGUUCUCCUCUUAAAACGAACCUGUAACUGAAACCACGGGAGCUGACGUCUUCUGCUAAAGAAUAAAAGCGGAGCACAACGUUCCGCAGCGCUCCUCAUCAGCUCCCAUUCAAAAACCUCAACCGAAAUCAACGGGACCGCUUGUGCGCCCCCGUGCCGGCCGGCAGGACGGCUGCUGACAGCCCGCAGCGCUUCUGGACGGAAGACGCAGCAACGCGCGCUGGCAGCACCGCUUAAAACCCAUCUAUUUUAAAACUUCUUCCUCACGCGAAAGCCAACACGUCUUCAGGCAGCAGCUGUGCAGCAGCAAGCCGAGAUAAAGAGGCCGAGUCCGCAGCGCCAAUGGGACAGCGCGGACGGGGAAGCGGCGAGCGGCUUCCUGCCCAGUGCCGCAGCAGCGGGAGGAGCAGCGGGAGGAAAAGGGGCAGCAGCAACACGAGGAGGCGGCUGUGCCCGGGGUGGCGGAAGGCGGCCGCACGUGCUGGCAGGAGCCGUGGAGCCGGCGGGCGGUGCUGCUGCGUUUCUGAGGGGUUUCGCUUUUU